rnacentral:misc_RNA from 1 species
AAGUCGUAACAAGGUUUCCGUAGGUGAACCUGCGGAAGGAUCAUUAUUGAAUAUUCUUGAUGGGUUGUAGCUGGCUCUCCGGAGCAUGUGCACACUUGUCUUGACUUUAUUCGUCCACCUGUGCACCUUUUGUAGUCUUGGGGGUUGAGAGCGGUCGACUAUCGGAUGGCUAUGGCCUUUCCGGAUGUGAGGAUUGCUGAGUGCGAAAGCAUACAGCUCUUCUCAAAUGACUUGCAAAACCUCUCCCUCGAGUACUAUGUAUUCAUAUACCACAUAGUAUGUUGUAGAAUGUGAUCAAUGGGCCUAUGUGCCUAUAAUAAUGAAAUACAACUUUCAGCAACGGAUCUCUUGGCUCUC